CCUACGGGAGGCAGCAGUGGGGAAUAUUGGGCAAUGGACGCAAGUCUGACCCAGCAACGCCGCGUGAAGGAAGAAGGCUUUCGGGUUGUAAACUUCUUUUAAGGGGGAAGAGCAGAAGACGGUACCCCUUGAAUAAGCCACGGCUAACUACGUGCCAGCAGCCGCGGUAAUCCGUAGGUGGCAAGCGUGGUCCGGAUUUACUGGGUGUAAGGGGCUUGCAGCCGGAGAGACAAGUCAGAUGUGAAAUCCACGGGCCAAACCCGUGAACUGCAUUUGAAACUUUUUCCCUUGAGGGUGGGAGAGGUAAUCGGAAUUCCUGGUGUAGCGGUGAAAUGCGUAGAUAUAAGGAAGAACACCAGUGGCGAAGGCGGAUUACUGGACGAUAACUGACGGUGAUGCACGAAAGUGUGGGUAUCAAACAGGAUUAGAUACCCGUGUAGUC
rnacentral:rRNA from 1 species